rnacentral:rRNA from 1 species
UAACCUGCUAAUUAGUACGCAUCAGUACUCUCAUUGAGAAUCUAUUGGUGUCUCGUACUUCUUAGAGGGACUAAUUACUCAAAGUAAUAGGAAGUUUGAGGCAAUAACAGGUCUGUGAUGCCCUUAGAUGUCCUGGGCCGCACGCGCGCUACACUGAUAAAGGCAACGAGUUCAUUCUUUGACCGAAAGGUCCGAGUAAUCUUGAAACUUUAUCGUGCUGGGGAUAGUUCAUUGCAAUUAUUGAACUUUAACGAGGAAUUCCUAGUAAGCACGAGUCAUCAGCUCGUGUUGAUUACGUCCCUGCCCUUUGUACACACCGCCCG